ACGUAGGUGGCGAGCGUUAUCCGGAUUUAUUGGGUUUAAAGGGUGCGUAGGCGGCUGAUUAAGUCAGCGGUGAAAGGUAGCAGCUUAACUGUUUUACAUGCCGUUGAUACUGGUUAGCUUGAGUUGACAGAAGGCAGAUAGAAUUUCUGGUGUAGCGGUGAAAUGCUUAGAUACCAGGAGGAAUACCGAUUGCGAAGGCAGUCUGCUGCAGUCACACUGACGCUGAGGCACGAAAGUGCGGGGAUCAAACAGGA
rnacentral:rRNA from 1 species